CAUUCUAUCUACAGCUGCUUAUGUUUCCAGUUUCCAUGCAGGAAGACAGGUAGGAGGAGAUCAUCUGGCAAAGAGAUUUGCAGAGUGUCGGGUGACCGGCAAAGAGAUCUGCAAAGUGUCAGUUGAAGACGACGGGAGGAGUUGCAGAGGAAUUAGUGACUGGAGAAUAGCAUGCAGGAGGUGACACACACUCCCCAGCCGCCCAGGGCAUCGACGCCCCAUCAGGAGGAAGAAGAGGAUCCGGACGGACAACCACCAUAAGCCCGGUCGUAUUGUUUUAUUUACUCUUAUGUUUUUCAUGUAUCCCUUUCUCCCCCUCCCAUUAGUUUUUUUUUCUUUCUUACUAUUGUUUUAUAUUUGUGUUGGGCUCGCCCACCCCUGAACGGAUACUACCAAGGAGCUUUAUGUCUAGGCAUGUAUGCGGGCGCGUGUGGUAACGGAUGAAAGCUCCUUGUGGCUACAUGUAUGAUGGGCCAAAGAGCUAUUCUGAUACCACUUUUUUUUUUAACCAAAAAAAUCCUUUUUGUAUUGGUGUACAAUAGGCUUUCACUGUUAUGUGAAUUUACUAUUCACUAGUGUUUAUUUUUGGCUUAUUCAUAGGAUUGGGUGGAAAAUUGAAGUGGACGGCAUAGUUCGUGUUGUGCGUACCAAGAUAUCUACACAAGAAAAGAAUGUAAAGAAGAACAAACUACUUUUUUGUUUUAUUACAUUUUAUUUUUUAUUUAAAAAAUAAAAUACAAUUUUAUAUAUUUCUUCAAUAAAUUUUUUAAAAUUAGAA